AUGGAAGAAGUUGGAAUUAUUCGUCUUUGGAAUAAUCUUACCUCAACCAGGUGUGAGCUUACCCCACACACACUUCAAUUUUUAUUCCAUCGGGAUGGCGGAAACUUAGUCAAGCUUCCCUCGUGCCCUCACCUCCCAGAACGGACAGCUACACUUCAAAGUACGUGUGUGGUGGCCGUCUCCUGCUCCUCCUACCCACCCGCCUCAAUCAUGCUUUGGGUCUCCAUCCAGAACGUGUUCUUCGAGGACAGUAACUCCCACAGGGAAAGCAGCAUCUGGCCAUGUGGGUGAUCUAUUCUCCAGCCUCUCGAAGUUGUGUAGGUAAGUCUGGCUAAGUUACUGCCUCCCUCAUCUGGGGGUUGCUGCUUAUUCCCCCAGGAAGUUCUCUGUCCUUCCAAGACAGUCCUUUUGUCUCCAGGUUGCUCAACCACCUGCACUGACU
rnacentral:lncRNA from 1 species